UACGGAGGGUGCGAGCGUUGUCCGGAAUCACUGGGCGUAAAGGGCGCGUAGGUGGCGCGGGCAGUCAACGGUGAAAGUUCGGGGCUCAACCCUGAAUCGGCCGUCGAUACUCCCGGGCUUGAGCACUGUAGAGGCAGAUGGAAUUCCGGGUGUAGCGGUGGAAUGCGUAGAGAUCCGGAAAAAACACCGGUGGCGAAGGCGGUCUGCUGGGCAGUAGCUGACACUGAGGCGCGACAGCGUGGGGAGCAAACAGG
rnacentral:rRNA from 1 species